UACGUAGGGUGCAAGCGUUAUCCGGAAUUAUUGGGCGUAAAGAGCUCGUAGGCGGUUUGUCGCGUCUGCUGUGAAAACUGGAGGCUCAACCUCCAGCCUGCAGUGGGUACGGGCAGACUAGAGUGCGGUAGGGGAGAUUGGAAUUCCUGGUGUAGCGGUGGAAUGCGCAGAUAUCAGGAGGAACACCAAUGGCGAAGGCAGAUCUCUGGGCCUGCACUGACGCUCAUGCACGAAAGCGUGGGGAGCAAACAGG
rnacentral:rRNA from 1 species